CAAAGCCUACUAACUAUUGUGACAUUUAAUUAAAUGAACAGUGAGAGUGGGUUAUGAUUAUUGUGAACAAUAUACUUUCUUGAAGAGAAUAUUAUCUAUAUUUGUAACAUACCAUAUGCGUAACCUCAAUAGCUACACCUGAUAAGCAGAAUUUUUGAAAUUCCACUCUAACACCAACCUGCUAAUCUACACCAAGCAGUUACAAAUACUCCAAACUAUGCUAAGUUUCCUCCCCAUGGUGCUACCUUCCUGCAACUGCCGCACCGCUUACGCUCGUUCCGGGGCCGGCUGCCGCACCGCUCAGGCUCGUUCCGGGGCCGGCGGCAAGAUCAUAUAUGUCAUCUGAAACUUCCAAUUAUCAAAUAUGGCCUCGUGGCUGAGCGCUCAGCGGCGCUAUCAUCUAAACGUAAAGUUGACGGUUCCAAUCCCGGCAGGUAUGUAAGGAAAUUAGAAAAUGAGCUGAAACAUUAAACUCCUUGGACACUCCAUAGAAAGGAAGAAUUAUUUUCUGUUUAAUGCUGGCAUGUGAAGACAUUAGAACAUUUUCUUGUAGAUUAAAUUCUUUGGACAUUCAAUGAAAAUGAAUUAUUUUGUGAAUUUUUGUUAUAAUAGUGCUUUUUUUAUUUCACUUAGAAUUUUAUUUCAUUGCCAGUUAAUUGAUAGUAACUAAGAAAGUGAAAUAAUUUUUUUUUUUUUGGAGAAAUAAAGAGUAUUUUUUACAACCUUAUAUUUCAUGAUUGUCUAUCUUCA